GGGCAAGUGGUCUAGGGGUAUGAUUUCUCAUUCGCAUCAAGGAAACUUGGACAACAUUGAGAAGGUCCGGGGUUCAAUUCCCCGCUUGUCCA